AGAGCGAACGCUGGCGGCAGGCUUAACACAUGCAAGUCGAGCGGGCGUAGCAAUACGUCAGCGGCAGACGGGUGAGUAACGCGUGGGAACGUACCUUUUGGUUCGGAACAACCCAGGGAAACUUGGGCUAAUACCGGAUAAGCCCUUACGGGGAAAGAUUUAUCGCCGAAAGAUCGGCCCGCGUCUGAUUAGCUAGUUGGUGAGGUAAUGGCUCACCAAGGCGACGAUCAGUAGCUGGUCUGAGAGGAUGAUCAGCCACAUUGGGACUGAGACACGGCCCAAACUCCUACGGGAGGCAGCAGUGGGGAAUAUUGGACAAUGGGCGCAAGCCUGAUCCAGCCAUGCCGCGUGAGUGAUGAAGGCCCUAGGGUUGUAAAGCUCUUUUGUGCGGGAAGAUAAUGACGGUACCGCAAGAAUAAGCCCAGGCUAACUUCGUGCCAGCAGCCGC
rnacentral:rRNA from 1 species